UACACGUGCCGCGGUGGUGGCAGUCGUUCACCAACCGUGACAAAACGAGCGUACUCCAGGCUCCGGUUGCCUGGCUACGCCUAGCUACGAGCGCACGGUGCAUGCCACUUGCUGCGGUCGUAGGUUCGCACCAGUUCGCACACAGCGAUACCGUCAUACCACGCGGUAGGGAGGGUAGAACAAGUGUUUCAGUCGAGCAACAAACAGGGAAAAAGCAAAAGAUGGCGAUGGUGCAUCGAAACGUGCCGCAGUAGUGAUGCAGUACGAGCGAGUGCCGUCAUUAUUUGCUCCGAUCGUACCGCGCGAGAUCGCUCGUUGAGCGGAGCGCGGCCAAAUGACAUGGGAAUUUGCAGCAGAAGGCAUUUUCUACUGACAAUAUGCAGCCUGCAAUUAAUUACCAUAAUAGAACGUCAAGUUUUUGACUUUUUGGGAUUUAUGUGGACUCCGAUAUUGGUCAACUUUUUCAACAUUAUCUUCGUAAUUCUAGGAUUCUUUGGGGCCUUUCAGUAUAGACCUAAAUAUAUCAUAUCGUAUUGUAUAUGGAAUACAUUGUGGUUAGGAUGGAAUAUAUUUAUCAUAUGCUUUUAUCUCAAUGUGGGGAUACUAGACAAAAAUAGCGAUAUUCUUAAUCUUGGUACUGGUAGCUUUUCAUGGUGGUAUGUAAAUGGACCAGGUUGCAAAGCUGUUUAUGAUGUGACAGAACCAGAGCUUUUUCGACCUGCACGACCUACUAAUGUAACAGACUGCGUGCUGGAUUACGAAGUGAUAGAAAUUUUACACGCUGCGACACAAUGUAUCCUAGGUUUUAUGGCCAUUGUUGGCGGAAUUUGUCUCAGUAAAGUGUUUCUUGAGGAAGAUGAUAGCUUUGACUUUGUUGGAGGUGAUGACUUUGGGUUGGCAGGCCACACACCGUUGCAUCCUAUGUACGUUAGCUACUCGGCUCUUCCACCACCUGCCUACUCCCUCAAAAAUUCCGCUCAAAAUAAUUAUCCGACCAGCACAGCUAGCUCUCACCAAUCUGCCUAUCGCGAGUCGAGCUUUCCAAAACGCAGCGGUGAGAAGCUGCUAGGCGGUAGUACCGCGCACGGCAAAAGCAACGUCGUCGGUUUUAAAAACGACACGGUUCGUAGUAACAGCAGUCGUUCGUCCAGCCGCGAUUUUCAGAACGUAGAUUACUCGGUCGACUACUUGAACCCGGUGGACCAUUUGCAGCGACCCGUCUCGCCCGUAUACGACGAAUUUGAUUCGUUGGACAGCGCCGCUAAGCUGCGAUUUCAGAAAAACAGGCUCUACUAUUUGCAUUCAUCGAGAUACAGUCCGGUCGCGCGUAUCAAGUGUCGCCAGGUAGCGGCGAAGCAAACCAGGAAUCCCGUCAAACCCCGUGUCUUCGUCGAUCAUGUACGCGACCAACCACUAAGAUCAUUUUACUCCGAUCCGAAAUUGGCGGUUGAACAAGCAUCGAGCGAACACGACAGGUCGUCUCAGUCGAAACGAGACAGUCGACCAUUGUCCCUGUACGCGAGUAACUUCUGAAACGGGAUCUUCCGCUUUUAUACACGAUUGCUUAAAGUACUUGUGUUAAAAUUGAUGACAUUUUCUUUAAGUACGAGUGGCAGAUAAAAUUGCCCGUGCAAGCUCUUGUCUUCUGCUCUCUUAUAGCGAAAAGAGUAACGAAAGUUAGUUUACACAAACUUCUAUACUACUACCGCGUAUGGCGUCCACUCGUGCGUACGAACUAAACGAAAGAAGAAGCAGCCACGGCCGCUAUAUAGCAUCGAAUAUUCGCAACCCGAACCACCGGUGCAG
rnacentral:misc_RNA from 1 species